rnacentral:hammerhead_ribozyme from 1 species
AUCCAGGUGACGAGUGCCAAAUAGGACGAAUUCACGUGUGCCCUGGAU